UACGUAGGUGGCAAGCGUUGUCCGGAAUUAUUGGGCGUAAAGCGCACGUAGGCGGACUCUUAAGUCGGUGGUGAAAUCCUGGAGCUCAACUCCAGAACUGCCUUCGAUACUGAGAGUCUCGAGUCCGGGAGAGGUGAGUGGAGCUGCGAGUGUAGAGGUGAAAUUCGUAGAUAUUCGCAAGAACACCAGUGGCGAAGGCGGCUCACUGGCCCGGUACUGACGCUGAGGUGCGAAAGCGUGGGGAGCAAACAGG
rnacentral:rRNA from 1 species